UACGGAGGGAGCUAGCGUUGUUCGGAAUUACUGGGCGUAAAGCGCGCGUAGGCGGCUUUGUAAGUCAGAGGUGAAAUCCCGGAGCUCAACUCCGGAACUGCCUUUGAGACUGCAUCGCUUGAAUCCGGGAGAGGUGAGUGGAAUUCCGAGUGUAGAGGUGAAAUUCGUAGAUAUUCGGAAGAACACCAGUGGCGAAGGCGGCUCACUGGACCGGUAUUGACGCUGAUGUGCGAAAGCGCGGGGGAGCAAACAGG
rnacentral:rRNA from 1 species